AGUCGAGUAAGCUAAAUCAAGCUCUUGGGCCCAUACCCCAAACAUGUAGGUUAAACCCCUUCCUUUACUA
rnacentral:tRNA from 1 species